rnacentral:misc_RNA from 1 species
UCCCGGUUGGCCCGGGCGGUCUCGUGUGAAAAAUACAACACACGACAAGGGUUGCGCUCGUUGCGGGACUUAACCCAACAUCUCACGACACGAGCUGACGACGGCCAUGCAACACCUGUCACCUGGUUCCCGAAGGCACUCCACCGUUUCUGGCGGAUUCCAGGGAUGUCAAGCCUCGGUAAGGUUCUUCGUGUACCAUCGAAUUAAACCACAUGAUCCACUGCUUGUGCGGGACCCCGUCAAUUCCUUUGAGUUUUAAGCUUGCGCUCGUACUCCCCAGGCGGGAUGCUUAACGCGUUAGCUUCUCAGCCCAGAGGGUCGAUACUCCAGACUGAUAGCAUCCAUCGUUUACGGCGUGGACUAC